rnacentral:lncRNA from 1 species
CUAUCUGUGACAACCCCACCUUCCCCUAAGACGAACCAAAGGGUUCGGCGGACCGCCUGUCCAGCUCUCGCCAGGACUCAAUCAUUCACCUCAGAUAAAAUCGAAACAAAACCACAAGACAAAGUAUAAUAACGAUUCAAAGCUUAGAACAUAUACUUAGACUUUUCUAUCUCAAAAGGAAUUACAAAAUCAAAUGUACAAAAGUUCUCAAUUCUUCAUACAUCCAACCCUUGCCAAAUGCUAGAGCGAGAACCAUUACAAAAGAAUCAAAAGAACUAGACUAGACUAGUCGAUACAGAGGUCUCGUCCUUACUCGCAUCCCCUGUUAAGGAAAACAAAACUAACGAAAUGAGGUAGAAACUUAGUGAGGUUCCAAACACACAAACAAAUAAACAGUUCAAUACAUUAACCAUAGAUAGCAAGUAAUUCAAGAAAUAUGACAAUAUAAAGCGAUAAUAACAUUCAUUAAAAGGAUACGGGCUCACAGGGAGCCAUUCGUUCAUUCUCCUUUCAUUCCGUUAUUCCUCCAAUCAUUUGAAAAUGCAUUUCGAUAAGUAAAAUCCCUCAUUUGCAUUGACAUUCGUUCAUUCAUUUCAUUCACCACCUUCUGGACGUUGGCCAGGCUCCACCCGACAACAAGGUAAUACUCGAGUAUACCAAAUAUUCACCCAGGGCAGGGAUCAGUUCAGCCAAAAGGUUUACAUUCAUGCACAUGUAACGUUUCAAUCAUUAAAUCAUUAAAAAUUUCACAUUUCAUUUAGGUCGAGCGCGAUAAAAUACACUCGCCUAGAAAACUCGUUUUAGAAAUCCUUGAAAGAACUUAACACAUUGUCAAACAAUAACACAAGCCAUGAAGUCAAGGAAAAUAUAACAAACAAGGAACACUCACCUAUUUACGCAAAAUAACGUCCAAAGUAUCCUUUCGGAUAACACCCUCAAUCACCAAGGAACCCUAAUAUAAUCAAAAGAACACAUUAUGUUUCAACCAUCAAGGAUGUAAGUGAUUCAAAGAAAAUUCGAAUACGUACUAGUACAAGGUAUAAAUAUGAUUUUGAUAGUGAAAAGAGUACAUUUAAACCAAAUGACAUAAGUAAAAUAUUUAUAAAACUUAUACUCACUCGUAAACUUUAAAAUCUCCAUUUGGGUCGAAGUGACAAAGAAACGUAUUUCUAUUAGUCGAAAAUUUCAUUUUUCCAAAGGUACAAGUUUCGGCCGAAUUCUAACUUAUAUACCUCGAUAAAAGAAGCCGUACAUACCCUAGAUGGUUCACGUGGUAUUCGCUCUCAAACCUUUACUCAAGUCGCAAGUAUAUCUACCUAAUUCUUGAGCGUAAAUUUGGGCAGCACGCCCUUUGUAUUUAUCCAUUUUUCAGCUAUUUAUGGCUUCAUUCUUUUCCUCAAUCAAUCCCAAAGUCAUACACAAAAUCAUCUCAUUUCAAUAGCCAUUCCAUAGGCUCCAAAUCAUACAAGUACAAAAUCAAGUUAGGAGCAUGUGCGGAAAUGAAGGUUAAGUCAAGAAACAAAAGACAGAUUUGACGUUGUUUUACGUAACGGACACAACCGAGGCUACGCUUAUCGGAUUGGGAUGAAAGUUAUACCAUUUCGAAGCUAAGACAAAGGCCUACAACUUUGUUGAAAACCACUCAGUCCAGUUUGUAGUGUAUCUAAGUCAAAAUCUCAAAUAACAGAACCAGAAUCUCACAUUCGGGCUUGUUAACCGCCUUAUGCGUAAAUGACAAUAACUCAGGCUACCGAAGUCCAAACGAGGUGAUUUCAGGGGCAUUGGAAAGCUAAGACAUAUCACUACAACUUUUGUGUGUUGGCCAAAGGCUAAUUCAGUACACAUCAGGGUGAACAGACACGGUUAGCGUUGUGAAAUAUCAAAAUUGUCCACUAGACUAAACCUAUGAGAGUCAGGGGUAUUUUUGUCUUUUCAUAGGCUACGUUGCUCCGAUUGAGCUGAAAUUUUGCAGACAACUAUAAAACAUCAUUCUCUACAAUUUUCAUGUUUUAUACUAAGUCUAAUUCGGCCUCUAACAUCACGAACUGGAACCGGGCAGAACUGAAACUUGAAUUUCCAGAAAUCUGGACUUUUGUUAUAGUCAAGCCAUAAUUCACAUUUUUACCUUAAAAUUACCACUACUUUCUCCUUUACAAGAUUAUAUACCAUAUAACACCUAACCCACAAGAAAUAUGAGUGAAUAAAUCAAAACCCUAACUCAAUAUUCGUCCCUCCAAUCAUCAAAACCAUUUGAAACAAGCAUCACAAGCACAACUCUAACAUUAAUACCCAACUUAAUCAUGAUUAAUGGAGAAAGAAAGAGUGAUCAGCCAUUAUACCUCAAGACAAGACCUUGCAAGAGUGAUCCUCUACUACUCCUUGAAAUUUUUGGUUCCUUAAGCUUCCCAAGCUUCCAAACUAGUGAUUAAUCGAUUUAAUUUUUCUUGUUCUCACUUACAAAGGUUGGAUUCAAGGUUGGAAAUGGAAAACUCUCUUCACUCUCCUCCCUCUCCUUGCUCUAGGCCAAACCAGAAAAAAAAUGAU